rnacentral:rRNA from 1 species
GAUGAACGCUGGCGGCGUGCCUAAUACAUGCAAGUCGAGCGAACAGACGAAGAGCUUGCUCCUUUGACGUUAGCGGCGGACGGGUGAGUAACACGUAGGUAACCUACCUAUAAGACUGGGAUAACUUCGGGAAACCGGAGCUAAUACCGGAUAAUAUUUCGAACCGCAUGGUUCGAUAGUGAAAGAUGGCUUUGCUAUCACUUAUAGAUGGACCUGCGCCGUAUUAGCUAGUUGGUAAGGUAACGGCUUACCAAGGCAACGAUACGUAGCCGACCUGAGAGGGUGAUCGGCCACACUGGAACUGAGACACGGUCCAGACUCCUACGGGAGGUAGCAGUAGGGAAUCUUCCGCAAUGGGCGAAAGCCUGACGGAGCAACGCCGCGUGAGUGAUGAAGGUCUUCGGAUCGUAAAACUCUGUUAUUAGGGAAGAACAAACGUGUAAGUAACUGUGCACGUCUUGACGGUACCUAAUCAGAAAGCCACGGCUAACUACGUG